GUGUGCCUGAAAUGUCUGUCUUGCUUCGUUUUUGAACCUUCAAAUCAUAAUCGGGAGCCUGAGUUGACGGAAUACGAUCAAGUCUCCCUGAGAGAAAGGUCUAAGACCGGCGCAGGGCACCCACCUAGCAAGUUGCUAGGUAUCAAAAAGAAGCGGGGCAUUUUAGGCAUCUU
rnacentral:other from 1 species